rnacentral:rRNA from 1 species
AUUGAACGCUGGCGGCAGGCCUAACACAUGCAAGUAGAGCGGAGCGGCGGACGGGUGAGUAAUGCCUAGGAAUGAGCAUGGUAGUGGGGGAUAACGUCCGGAAACGGGCGCUAAUAGAGCAUACUAUCAGAUGAGCCUAGUUCGGAUUAUCUAGUUGGUGGGGUAAAGGCAUACCAAGGCGACGAUCCGUAACUGGUCUGAGAGGAUGAUCAGUCACACUGGAACUGAGACACGGUCCAGACUCCUACGGGAGGCAGCAGUGGGGAAUAUUGCACAAUGGGCGAAAGCCUGAUCCAGCCAUGCCGCGUGUGUGAAGAAGGUCUUCGGAUUGUAAAGCACUUUAAGUUGGGAGGCGUUACCAACAGAAUAAGCACCGGCUAACUUCGUGCCAGCAGCCGCGGUAAUUC